CCACACUAUGGGCUUGAUCCUAUCAGCCCUUGGUCACCUGAGCAGUCUAUACUCACAAGAUUAGUCCUGUUCACUGCGAGUGUUUGUUAUGCUUUUCAGGUUAAUCGCUUAUGUGUCUGUACAAAGCAACUACAAUGAUUUGAUCCAGAGAUCAUCUGUGGUGCAUAACAAUAACCAGAGCUGUGAGACAGUUUAACAAAGGACUCUGCAUGCUACAACACCUUAGCACAAAGGUGUGACUUAAAGGGGCAAAUCCUGGGGUCUCUACACAGCCUGAGUACAUGGGCUGUGCCCAGGGCUACUCUACAAGGACGUCUAAGGAAGGAUUCCUUCGCACAGAGCAGGCCGCAGAGUAGCAGUGGAGCUGUUCCACAGCCUGCACUGCAGGCUGUACUGCAGUCCUAUAGCUGAAAUACACCCUCUCCAGCCAUGGACUAUGACCUAUCUUUCUUCCCAGGUGGGGUGAUGGUUUGGCUAGUGGGUCCAUGCAGUUGUAGAUCCACUGGCCCAACUCCUUCUUGUCCUCUGGCCUACUUCAACUCUUGUUCCUUGCACAGGGUGUUUGCUACCCAAAUCCAGCUCCACUGUGCCAGCAGAACCAGCUCCCACCAGUGCUGCAGUGCUGAGAACCUACUGUGGCUGUGGGGGAUAAGAAUUUGUACGUCUAUGUUAUCAUUGUAUUACCAGCACUUGGUGUUAUGUUUCACAAAUACUCUGCACCAAGUGCAAGUGUUUAAUCACCUCUUCCCACUGAAAAACCAGCCGAGGGGCUAUUCCCUUCCCCUUCAUGCCUGCACACUAUUUCAUUAUUGGAGGGACUGUUCAUGAGUGAUGGGCUGCUCGCACAGGGCCAAGACUGAGUAACUAGACUGAACAGCGAGGACCUCACCAUGUGUAAGGUGGAGGAAUCUGCUCUGAGGCUGAAGUACCAUUUCAAGAGCCUUGAGAUCAGCACAGGCUCCGUGAUGCUAGCAUCUGUCCUCUCUAGAGGCAGGUAGAGUCACCAGCCCAAAUAGCUCCUACACUCAGCUAUUCAUGAAGCUUGGCUCUGUGGUAUUCACUGAAAUUCCGUCCCUCUCUGGAACACUCUGCUCUCAUCGAGGGGCAGGCAGUAGAGGAGGAUUUGCCCAGAGAGCAUGGCAUGGUCUUUGCAAAAUGAUAAAAGAGGGCCAGGUCCAUUUCAAAAUAAAGCAGAGAAAACACCAAACUAAAAUGAAGAGAUUGUUCUGUGAACGAUGAGUCUCUAACCAAAAUACAACCCUUCCACACAGCCCCAGCACGGCCAAAGGGUUUACAGUCAGAGAGUGAAUAUUAUGCAGACAGUGGUAGCCCUUUAAGAAAACUAUGAACUUUGGGGUGGGAAAUCCAUUUAACUUGCUUCAUUGAGUGCAUGGGAGAAUUAUGCAGUGGUGAGUCGUCACAUCAUCUCCACAUGGCAACCUAGUACUUCAUUUAGCUUCCUCGUGGGUAAACUGAGGAUAAUAAUAUUUACCCACCGCACAGAGACAUGGAA